AUGUUUGGAUCUAUGCACAAAUUUCACAAGUUUGGAUGCAUCAUAGAACUUGUGGUGAUUUUGUUUAGAUUGCAGGAAGUUGGAACACAAGUAUUGAGAUUGUUCACUAAAUUCAAAUCAUUCGCCUAAAAUUGUUUGCCUGAAGUUCACCUGAAACUUGUUGGCAUUAUUUUUAUUCUAGGAUAAGAUGAACCAGCUCGUUAUUUGUUUGGUGAUUAUACCGGAUACUUGUUCUUUUU
rnacentral:lncRNA from 1 species